UACGUAGGGUGCAAGCGUUGUCCGGAAUUAUUGGGCGUAAAGAGCGUGUAGGCGGCCCGAUUAGUCCGCUGUGAAAGUCCAGGGCUCAACCCUGGAAUGCCGGUGGAUACUGUCGGGCUAGAGUUCGGUAGGGGAGACUGGAAUUCCUGGUGUAGCGGUGAAAUGCGCAGAUAUCAGGAGGAACACCGGUGGCGAAGGCGGGUCUCUGGGCCGAUAUUGACGCUGAGGAGCGAAAGCGUGGGGAGCGAACAGG
rnacentral:rRNA from 1 species